rfam:Nematostella vectensis strain CH2 x CH6 NEMVEscaffold_634_Cont31141, whole genome shotgun sequence.
GCCUCGUUAGCGCAGUAGGCAGCGCGUCAGUCUCAUAAUAGAAUGUAGAAAUCUGAAGGUCGUGAGUUCGAUCCUCAGACUGGGCA